rnacentral:rRNA from 1 species
GAUGAACGCCGGCGGCGUGCCUAAUACAUGCAAGUCGAGCGAAUGGAUUAAGAGCUUGCCCUUAUGAAGUAGCGGCGGACGGGUGAGUAACACGUGGGUAACCUGCCCAUAAGACUGGGAUAACUCCGGGAAACCGGGGCUAAUACCGGAUAACAUUUUGAACCGCAUGGUUCGAAAUUGAAAGGCGGCUUCGGCUGUCACUUAUGGAUGGACCCGCGUCGCAUUAGCUAGUUGGGGAGGUAACGGCUCACCAAGGCAACGAUGCGUAGCCGACCUGAGAGUGUGAUCGGCCACACUGGGACUGAGACACGGCCCAGACUCCUACGGGAGGCAGCAGUAGGGAAUCUUCCGCAAUGGACGAAAGUCUGACGGAGCAACGCCGCGUGAGUGAUGAAGGCUUUCGGGUCGUAAAACUCUGUUGUUAGGGAAGAACAAGUGCUAGUUGAAUAAGCUGGCACCUUGACGGUACCUAACCAGAAAGCCACGGCUAACUACGUGCCAGCCGCCGCAGUAA